UCAACACACAUCAAUUAAAAUGCCAGUUACAAAGACAUCCAGACUGUGCAAAUGUGAAGCAGUGGAAGGGUGGACCUGUCAAGAUCGACCCUCUGGCUUUGGUACAAGCCAUCGAGAGAUACCUUGUAGUUAGAGGGUAUGGAAGAGUAAGAGAAGAUGAUGAAGACAGUGAUGACGAUGGAUCAGAUGAGGAAAUAGAUGAGUCUCUGGCUGCUCAGUUCCUAAAUUCAGGAAAUGUAAGACACAGGCUGCAGUUUUAUAUUGGAGAACAUUUGCUGCCAUAUAACAUGACCGUGUAUCAGGCAGUACGGCAGUUUAGUAUACAGGCUGAAGAUGAAAGAGAAUCCACAGAUGAUGAGAGCAAUCCUCUAGGCAGAGCUGGUAUUUGGACAAAGACUCAUACAAUAUGGCAAGUCUGAAAAUUCUUUCUUUUGGUUUUUCAUAAACUUUGAAACUGUUCUUGUGUUUUAGAAUUCACAUUAACUUA
rnacentral:sRNA from 1 species